CAGCACCUCAAGUGGUCAGGAUGAUUAUUGGGCCUAAAGCAUCCGUAGCUUGCUUUGUUAGUUUUCGGUUAAAUCUGUACGCUCAACGUACAGGCUGCCGGGAAUACUGCAGCGCUAGGGAGUGGGAGAGGUAGACGGUACUCGGUAGGAAGGGGUAAAAUCCUUUGAUCUAUUGAUGACCACCUGUGGCGAAGGCGGUCUACCAGAACACGUCCGACGGUGAGGGAUGAAAGCUGGGGGAGCAAACCGGAUUAGAUACCCGAGUAGUCC
rnacentral:rRNA from 1 species